AAAGAAAUAAAAAGAAAAAGCUUCUAACUUUUUAAAGAGCAAUUAAACUGUUCAU
rnacentral:tRNA from 1 species